rnacentral:rRNA from 1 species
UCCGGUGGCUAGAGCGAGGUGGAACCACUCUUAACCAUUCCGAACAAGAUAGUGAAACGCCUCAGCGCCAACGAUAGUUGUACCGCAAGGUGCCGCGAAAAUAGGUCGUCGCCGGAC